UACGGGGGGGGCAAGCGUUGUUCGGAAUUACUGGGCGUAAAGGGCUCGUAGGCGGCCAACUAAGUCCGACGUGAAAUCCCUAGGCUUAACCUGGGAACUGCGUCGGAUACUGGAUGGCUUGAAUUCGGGAGAGGGAUGCAGAAUUCCAGGUGUAGCGGUGAAAUGCGUAGAUAUCGUAAGGAAGACCAGUGGCGAAGGCGGGUCUCUGGACAGUUCCUGACGCUGAGGCGCGAAAGCUAGGGGAGCAAACGGG
rnacentral:rRNA from 1 species